GAGUGGCGGACGGGUGAGUAAUGUCUGGGAAGCUGCCUGAUGGAGGGGGAUAACUACUGGAAACGGUAGCUAAUACCGCAUAAUGUCGCAAGACCAAAGAGGGGACCUUCGGGCCUCUUGCCAUCGGAUGUGCCCAGAUGGGAUUAGCUUGUUGGUGGGGUAACGGCUCACCAAGGCGACGAUCCCUAGCUGGUCUGAGAGGAUGACCAGCCACACUGGAACUGAGACACGGUCCAGACUCCUACGGGAGGCAGCAGUGGGGAAUAUUGCACAAUGGGCGCAAGCCUGAUGCAGCCAUGCCGCGUGUAUGAAGAAGGCCUUCGGGUUGUAAAGUACUUUCAGCGGGGAGGAAGGGAGUAAAGUUAAUACCUUUGCUCAUUGACGUUACCCGCAGAAGAAGCACCGGCUAACUCCGUGCCAGCAGCCGCGGUAAUACGGAGGGUGCAAGCGUUAAUCGGAAUUACUGGGCGUAAAGCGCACGCAGGCGGUUUGUUAAGUCAGAUGUGAAAUCUCCGGGCUCAACCUGGGAACUGCAUCUGAUACUGGCAAGCUUGAGUCUCGUAGAGGGGGGUAGAAUUUCCAGGUGUAGCGGUGAAAUGCGUAGAGAUCUGGAGGAAUACCGGUGGCGAAGGCGGCCCCCUGGACGAAGACUGACGCUCAGGUGCGAAAGCGUGGGGAGCAAACAGGAUUAGAU
rnacentral:rRNA from 1 species